rfam:Eubacterium limosum KIST612, complete genome.
GGGGGCGUGGCUCAGUUGGGAGAGCGUCUGCUUCGCAUGCAGAAGGUCAGGAGUUCGAGUCUCCUCGUCUCCA